rnacentral:rRNA from 1 species
AAACUAACAAGGAUUCCCCUAGUAGCGGCGAGCGAAGCGGGAAGAGCUCAAAUUUAUAAUCUGGCACCUUCGGUGUCCGAGUUGUAAUCUCUAGAAAUGUUUUCCGCGUUGGACCGCACACAAGUCUGUUGGAAUACAGCGGCAUAGUGGUGAGACCCCCGUAUAUGGUGCGGACGCCCAGCGCUUUGUGAUACAUUUUCGAAGAGUCGAGUUGUUUGGGAAUGCAGCUCAAAUUGGGUGGUAAAUUCCAUCUAAAGCUAAAUAUUGGCGAGAGACCGAUAGCGAACAAGUACCGUGAGGGAAAGAUGAAAAGCACUUUGGAAAGAGAGUUAACAGUACGUGAAAUUGUUGGAAGGGAAACGCUUGAAGUCAGACUUGCUUGCCGAGCAAUCGGUUUGCAGGCCAGCAUCAGUUUUCCGGGAUGGAUAAUGGUAGAGAGAAGGUAGCAGUUUCGGCUGUGUUAUAGCUCUCUGCUGGAUACAUCUUGGGGGACUGAGGAACGCAGUGUGCCUUUUGGCGGGGGUUUCGACCUCUUCACACUUAGGAUGCUGGUGGAAUGGCUUUAAACGACCC